UCCCGGUUAACCCGGGCAGUCUCGCUAGAGUGGUCAACUUAAUGGUACCAACUAACAAUAAGGGUUGCGCUCGUUGCGGGACUUAACCCAACAUCUCACGACACGAGCUGACGACAACCAUGCACCACCUGUGUUCCUGUUCCCGAAGGAACUUCCCACAUUACUGGUAAUUCAGGACAUGUCAAGUCUAGGUAAGGUUCUUCGCGUUGCUUCGAAUUAAACCACAUGCUCCGCUGCUUGUGCGGGUCCCCGUCAAUUCCUUUGAGUUUUAAUCUUGCGACCGUACUCCCCAGGCGGAAUACUUAAUGCGUUAGCGGCGGCACAGAGGCUUGGGGCCCCUACACCUAGUAUUCAUCGUUUACGGCGUGGACUAC
rnacentral:misc_RNA from 1 species